rnacentral:rRNA from 1 species
CCUACGGGGGGCUGCAGUGAGGAAUAUUGGUCAAUGGGCGGAAGCCUGAACCAGCCAAGUCGCGUGAGGGAGUAAGGCCCUACGGGUCGUAAACCUCUUUUGCCGGGGAGCAGUGCCCAGCUCGUGAGCUGGGAGGGAGCGUACCCGGAGACAAAGCAUCGGCUAACUCCGUGCCAGCAGCCGCGGUAAUACGGAGGAUGCGAGCGUUAUCCGGAUUUCUUGGGUUUGAAGGUUGCGUAGGCGGGCCUUCAGGCCGGCGGGAAAAUGGCGGGGCUCAACCCCGCCGAGCCGUCGGAACCGGGUGCCGUGAGUACCGGAGAGGUACGCGGAAUGCGUGGUGUAGCGGUGAAAUGCAUAGAUAUCACGCAGAACCCCGAUGGCGAAGGCAGCGUACCGGCCGGUCACUGACGCUGAGGCACGAAAGCGCGGGUAUCGAACAGGAUUAGAUACCCCUGUAGUC